rnacentral:rRNA from 1 species
GACGAACGCUGGCGGCGCGCUUAACACAUGCAAGUCGAACGGGGUCCUUCCUUCGGGGGAGGGUUCAGUGGCGAACGGGUGCGUAACACGUGAGCAACCUGCCGGGUGGUGGGGGAUAACCCAUGGAAACGUGGGCUAAUACCGCAUGAGUUCAGCCUUUCGAGUGAAGGGUUGAGGAAAGGUGCUGCAAGGCACUGCCAUCUGAGGGGCUCGCGGCGUAUCAGCUAGUUGGUGGGGUAACGGCUCACCAAGGCAGCGACGCGUAGCCGAUCUGAGAGGAUGAUCGGCCACAUUGGGACUGAGAUACGGCCCAGACUCCUACGGGAGGCAGCAGUGGGGAAUCUUGCGCAAUGGGCGAAAGCCUGACGCAGCGACGCCGCGUGCGGGAGGAAGCUCGUUCGGGGU